rnacentral:lncRNA from 1 species
AGCAGUCAGCAAAGACAAGAGUACUGAAAGCUGGCUGCCCUCUUCACAGUUGAAUACCAGGGCUUAAGGUGGGAAUUCCUGGCAGCUCCACCCCAUCCUUCCAGUGGGCAUGCAGGCCCUUAGACCGAACUGCUCCGUAUUGAUUUAUUUUCCCUACUGCGCAUGUGCUAAGGAACGGAAUUUUCCACUGCCAGCAUGUUUAGAAACCCUGAAACUUAAAGACAAUAGGAUCUGGAAGGACACGCCAGUGGAAAUUGGCUAUCUCUGUGGACCAGGAAAUUUCAUCUACAAAAAGGUAUUCCAGAAAGAAAAUGCAGUCACCAUGUUGGGAAGAAGUCUUUCAAGUGCUACUGAUCACUCGUUUGGCUAUCAGAGAUUAAAACAAAAUAAAACAAAAACCAAAACCAAAACAAAAGAGAAACAGCUCAGCUGGAGUCAUGCUUCCCACGUGGAGACAGCACCCGGGGAAGACUUGACUGUGGUUCUCACAAGGCCUUGAAAUUUAAGUUUUCAAGAGUAACUGAGCUUCGUAUUGAAUUCAGAUAAAGAGGUAAUCUAGAGAACAUAUUACAUUUUAGAUGGUCUUGCUGUCUUAUUUCCAGUAGGUUUAUUUUGACUACUUUAAGAAUUAUAUUUUACUAGGAAUCAAAAGUUAUUUGCUACAUGACCUUUUCUUUCUGUACUCCCAGUAAUGGUUCUCACAAUCCCCUUUCCAGUUAGCUCAAAUUGUCCUCCCAGCAGAAACAGGACCUGGAAUUGUAUAACCAACAGUUUUAUUAUUGAAAGAGUAAAGGUGAGACCAUCUUCAUUAUAAUUGUUGAUAACAAAAUAAAACUAAUAUGCAUCCAAGUACUCAAGCCUGGCUGUGGUUUGAAUGUGUCCCCAAAUUCCAUGUGUCAGAAAUUUAAUUCCCAAAUUUAUGUGUUGUUGCUAUUUGGAGGUAGGGCCUUUGGGAUGUAGUGAUAGAUGAUGUCAUAAGAGUAGGGCCCCCGUGAUGAGAUUAGUGGCCUUAUAAGAAAGGGAGGAGAAAUAUGAGCCAUAUGGUGCUUUCUGCCAUGUUAUGAUGACCUCACCAGCACGAUGACUUCACCAGAUGUAGCUCCUCAACCUUAGACUUCUCAGUCCCCAGAAAUGUAAGAAAUAGUUUUCUUCAUAAAUUACCCCAUCUUAGUAUUCUGCUAUCUCAACACACAAUGGACUAAGACAAGUCCUACUUGUAAAACAAACAAAAACAAUUAAUUGGCUUAAUCGAAAACAUAAACAUUCCAGCUAAUAGAAAAAUAGAAACUUGGCAUUGUAAGAUAGAGACUACAAAAAACAGGUCUACUGUUACUUAGUUAACUUUGUGAUGUAACUUCUCUCCCAUCUAAGUAUAAAUUGAUACAUGAAACUGAAUUUCUAUCAUUCAUGAAUAUUUUGUUGACUAUUAUAACAUAGAGCUAUUGGUUUAGAUCCCAUUCUGGAAAAAAAAAUUACGCAUAGGCUAGGUUUGUCUUCAAGACUUAAAAUAAUAAUAGUUAUAUACAUUAAACCCUCAAAGUUUAAUCUGUGCCUUUCAGUUUGUACCUUAUAAUAAGACUUUUUGUUUGUUUGUUUUUGUUUUUGAGACAGAGUCUUGCUCUUGUCGCCCAGGUUGGAGUGCAAUGGCAUGAUCUCAGUUCACUGCAACCUCUGCCUCCCAGGUUCCAGUGAUACUCCUGCCUCAGCCUCCCAAGUAGCUGGGAUUACAGGCCCCUGCCACCAUGCUCAGCUAAUUUCUGUAUUUUUAGUAGAGACGGGGUUUCACCGUGUUGGCCAGGCUGGUCUCGAACUCCUGACCUCAUCAUCCACCCGCCUUGGCCUCCAAAAGUGCUGGGAUUACAUGCAUGAGCCACUGCGCCCGGCCAAGACUUUUAUAUUAGAUGAUGACCAUGGAUGUUACUGAAUUGCAAAACUGAGAAAAGCUAUUUAGGAAGAUUGAAUAAUUACUAAAAGGCCUAUGUAGUCAUGUGCUGCAUCACAACAUUUUGUUCAACAAUGGAUCAUAUUACAAUGGUGGUCUCAUAAGAUUAUAAUGUAUUUUUCAUGUACUUUUUCUAUAUUUAGAUAUGGUUAGAUACACAAAUACCAUUGUGUUAUAGUUGCCUACAGUAUCUGGUAACAUGUACAGCUUUGUAGCCUAGGAGCAAUAGGCUAUACCAUAUAGACUAUGUGCUGUAAGAACAUCCAAGUUUAUGUAAGUACAUUACAUCCUAUGACGAUCUCACAACAAUGAAAAGGUGUAUGUAAUCGGUUGUGUCUGUUUGGCUAUAUAAAAGGGUGAGAUUCCUUUCUGUCUGCAUUCUCUUUAGUGGAUUGCCUGUGAUGUGCAUCACAUCCUGGUUUCAUGCUUAUUCAAUAAUAAAAUUGCUUUUUUUCUCUUUUACCCCUGUAGAGAGGUUUUCAGGGUUGGAAUAAGACUGUUUUAAUUAUAUUUUCUCAACAAAACCUAAGUUGCUUUAGGAUAACAAAGGUAGCUUUCUGAUGUUCACCCAUCCUUGAUAUUGGGAAGUUAGAUAUUUUAUGUUCUACUCAAAAAUAUUUGCAAAUCUAAAAACGUACUAUAGAGUGAUAUAGAGUGAAUACCUUAUGCUCUAUGAAUAUAAAUAUGAAUAUGAAAGAAUGUUUUUAUUAUUGAAGAUGAUAUUUCUCAAAGCCAAAAUGUAAUUUUUCCUUUAUUAAAGGAUUUUAAAAUUACUAAAAUGUACUACCAGUAUGCUUCCUAUUUUCAACAAAUUAAAUUAUGGAAGGACAUAGUUGAUUGUAAACUUGGAAAAAGAUUCAUUUGAAUUGAAAUAUGUAUUCUGAUAUAAUAUUGUUAUAUUUAAAAUCUUAUAACCAAACUAAUCUCUCAUAAAAAAUCCAAUAGAAAAAAAUUGAAUAAAAAUAAGACACAACUAAUAAGAAUAAUAGAGGAUAAUGGAUAACAUUGUCAACAAAUGUUGAUUUAAAAGAAACAUUCUUAUCUGUAUAUUGUCUACUAAAAUGUACUUUGUGUAUAUAACAAUAAGUUAGAUCUUGUGAUAUGUUUUUAAAUUAGAUUUCAUUUCUCUUAUUUAUUCAAAAUAAUGUAGCCCCACAAUCUCUAUGUCUCCUUUUAUAAAUCCCAUCUAUCUCAUGUAUUUUCAUGGUAUGCUCUGAAGAAAAGACUGAAAGGAAAAUAUAUGCCAGAAACCAUUUGGUAGAUUAUAUAUUUGACUUAGAUAUGAGUAUGAAUAAUAUUUCCAAUGAAUUUCAAUGUAUUAUAAGUUCAGAGAAAAGUGUUCCAAUUUUAAAAAUAAAUAGCCUCUGGUCUCAACA